AUAAAAAAGGAUGCGUGCCCCGUCGCGCAUAACCUCUCAAUCACGCCUCCGGCCCGUAAAAUAGGCCGCGGGUGUUGAAUGAGUCCUUUAACCCUUUGUGAACUUUAUACCUUAUGCUUCGGCAGCGCACCCUCUCCAUUGCCGGUGAGGGUUGGUAAGGCUGCCGGUAGCCCAUUUAAAACCAUUUUUAUAUUUCAAAUCAUGAAGUCUGAUUACUGUUAAAUUUAUAACAAGUUA
rnacentral:misc_RNA from 1 species